GAGGAUAAUAAUGACAACUUCCUCCAUCUGUAAAAUGAGGAGAAUAAUGACAACUUCCUCAAAAGUACUAGUAAAAGAGAUCAGAGUGUCAAUUACAUAUCAAGUGCACAAGCACUUUGGGCCAUAAUUUUGAGCUACCUACUGCUAGUCUAAAAGAGCCCUGAAUAAAAAAUAACCUGUAGUUUUUUUGUUUGUUUGCUUGUUUUUUGGCUUGCCUAGUAAUCAUUCUUUUAUAGUUCAAGUUUUCUUUGAGAAGCUAGUACUUGAUUAUUAAAUGCAAUGGUAUAUUUAGUAUUUAGUUAUUAAGUACAAUAACAUUGUAGUUUUCUCUCCAAUUGUCCAGAUUUUCUCUGUCCAAGGGUGAGCAACUAACCCAAACUAGAGCAGACAAUCUAUCUCCGAUAACACGAACCGGAAGCAGCGGAUGCUGGAGCUGGUCAACACACGUUAAGAGGCAGCACUCUCAAGAGGCCGCCUCUGAAUUUUACAAACUAGCUAUUCAGAGAUGAUCCUUUCAUUUGUCUCUUUUCAAGGCAUAGUUAUUCAACUUUUCUGAGAUCUAAUGAACUUAUAACAAAUAUAUUUUGUACUUGAUGUUAAGCAAUGUCAUUGUGGUAGUUUGACUAGAGAAUGGCCCCGACAGACUCAUGUGUUUGAAUGCUUAGCUCAUAGGGAAUGGCACUAUUAGGAGGUAUGGCCUUGCUGGAGCAAGAGUGUCACUGUGGAGGUGGGCUCUGGGGUCUUACAUGCUCAAGCUAUGCCCACUGUGACACAGUUUCCUUCUGCUGCCUACAGAUCAAGAUGCAGACCUCUCAGUUCCUUCUCCAGCACCAUGUCUGCCUGCUUACCACUGUGUCCUGCCAUGAUGAUAAUGGACUAAACCUCUGAAACUGUAAGCCUGCCCCAAUUAAAUGUUUUCCUUUACAAGAGUUGCCCCAGUCUCUUCACAGUAAUAGAAACACUAACUAAAACCUUCCUUUUGUUUGUUUGUUUGUUUGUUUGUUUUAUUUUGAGAUAGUGUCUCACUUUGUAGUCUAGACUACCCUAAAACUCUUAGCAGGCCUCUUACCUCAGCUCCAAUUGCUGCAAUUACAGGCCUGGCUAAAAGGUCAAUUUCCAUUUCUUGAAACUAAACACUCUGAUACUUCAGUAGAGAAUUCUUUCACUUUCAAAGUUUUUCUAUUAGCCCAUAUAUUUUUUAGCAGUUCCUUUGAAGAAAUCAAAAUAACAAAAGUUCUGUCUUUCCAUUCAGAAAACUGACCAAAUUUUCUUUAUUUCUACCAUGUGACCAAAUCCUACCUGAUAGCUGCUUCCUGUGCUCCCUUUGUGGGUUGUCAACUCUACUCCUACCCACCCAUUCCCUCCUCAGAAGGCUUGAAACCUGUUGCCUGCAUCUCUAAGACAUUCCCUUGGUACCUCGUGUCUAAUUACAUCCUGCUACUGGGAAAGAAGCACUGAGGAAAACUGGAUGGCAGAAGAAACUGUACUUUCUUUCUGUCCCUGGCUCCUGCAGGGACAAUGGUGAUAUUCAGGAAACUCGGGAGAAAACUGCUCAUGGGCCACAGCUCCAGUGACAAUAGCCACACCAGUCUACUACCACAUACCUGGACAAGACCCACAGGUGAUCCCACAACCACAUUUGUGACUAUGACAUUGCACAGAAGUCACGUGGACAAUUACUGUGGGGAGGGGUGUGAAGAGGGGCUCAAGACUGCUCUCUACUACUUUUUCAGUUUCCUGGGAGUGCAUCUUCUUUCAACAUGAACACUUAUAAAAUAUCCUAGUCAACAAACGCUAAUGUGAACAUCUUGAUUUAACAAGCAGAUGCAUCUAGACUCUUGUCUCUCAGCCUCAGCUCUGCUGACAUUCUCAGCUCGUCUUCUUUGCUGUGGAGCUGUCCAUGUGUUCAAUCAUUCUCAGGCUCCACCCACCACUUGCCACUAGCUCAUCUGCCCCGGAUGACAGCCAAAAUGUCUCCAGAGAAACAGUUACUAAGAUCACCAGUCAGUGUGUCUGAGGUAGCAAUGGGUGGAUAUAGGCUCCAGCACCUUCUGAGGUGGGUCAUACAUGACUGAAUGUCCAUCUGAGGUAAGUGCAGCUCCCACCCCUCAUCAAAGAAGCCUCUUUCCAGCAAAUCACAAGUGGACACAAUGCAGACCGAGAUCAGCAGAGUAUGGGGAGCCCGGCCCCGACGGGUCUCCUGGAUCUGCGGCAGAAGAGGUGGGAAGCCUGAGAACGGCUCUAGGAAUGGCUGCAUAAACAAGGCCGGAACAAGGCCAGGAUCAGUGGACAUGGGGUGGGGGCGGCCGUCCAUCCUGGACAACCAAAGGCAGCCAAUGACUUCUGGGAAAAUGAUAAUUAGCCUCUCCUAGAGAUGAGCCCCCUUAUUUGUUGUCCAAUGCAAAGUGGUUACCCUGAAACCACACGCAUACAAACAACAAAAACCGUC